AUUGAACGCUGGCGGCAGGCCUAACACAUGCCAGUCGAGCGGAUGAAGGGAGCUUGCUCCUGGAUUCAGCGGCGGACGGGUGAGUAAUGCCUAGGAAUCUGCCUGGUAGUGGGGGAUAACGUCCGGAAACGGGCGCUAAUACCGCAUACGUCCUGAGGGAGAAAGUGGGGGAUCUUCGGACCUCACGCUAUCAGAUGAGCCUAGGUCGGAUUAGCUAGUUGGUGGGGUAAAGGCCUACCAAGGCGACGAUCCGUAACUGGUCUGAGAGGAUGAUCAGUCACACUGGAACUGAGACACGGUCCAGACUCCUACAGGAGGAAGCAGUGGGGAAUAUUGGACAAUGGGCGAAAGCCUGAUCCAGCCAUGCCGCGUGUGUGAAGAAGGUCUUCGGAUUGUAAAGCACUUUAAGUUGGGAGGAAGGGCAGUAAGUUAAUACCUUGCUGUUUUGACGUUACCAACAGAAUAAGCACCGGCUAACUUCGUG
rnacentral:rRNA from 1 species